rnacentral:rRNA from 1 species
AUCCAGACUCCUACGGGAGGCAGCAGUGGGGAAUAUUGCACAAUGGGGGAAACCCUGAUGCAGCAACGCCGCGUGAGUGAAGAAGUAUUUCGGUAUGUAAAGCUCUAUCAGCAGGGAAGAAGAUGACGGUACCUGACUAAGAAGCCCCGGCUAACUACGUGCCAGCAGCCGCGGUAAUACGUAGGGGGCAAGCGUUAUCCGGAUUUACUGGGUGUAAAGGGAGCGUAGACGGCGAUGCAAGCCAGAUGUGAAAGCCCGGGGCUCAACCCCGGGACUGCAUUUGGAACUGUGUGGCUGGAGUGUCGGAGAGGCAGGCGGAAUUCCUAGUGUAGCGGUGAAAUGCGUAGAUAUUAGGAGGAACACCAGUGGCGAAGGCGGCCUGCUGGACGAUGACUGACGUUGAGGCUCGAAAGUGUGGGGAGCAAACAGGAUUAGAUACCCUAGUA